rnacentral:misc_RNA from 1 species
AAAGUGCGACAAGUGUCACGACUUGCAGAUUCCCGGGAGCUGACAACUCUCUGAAUGCAAAUUGCGGUCCGGCAAUCUCCAGGCCGGCCAUGUGCUGCAGAGUGUUGUUGCCUUGUGCAAUUCAUCUUUCGGCUCGUCCCGAAAGGAUUCGGCGUUGAGCAGCGUUUCCUGCUGUUCAGCUCUGAGAUCUGCGCAAGCUCGCCCGUCGAGCCUGCCUUACAUCGACCUCACGGUCCCUGUGGCAGAAUCAAAACGGGACGUUGUUUGCGUUUUCAACAACAUUUUUGCUGACCUCUGCAGCAUAAGAAAACCCGCUGAACUUAA